rnacentral:rRNA from 1 species
UGGGGAAUAUUGGACAAUGGGCGAAAGCCUGAUCCAGCCAUGCCGCGUGUGUGAAGAAGGUCUUCGGAUUGUAAAGCACUUUAAGUUGGGAGGAAGGGCAGUAAAUUAAUACUUUGCUGUUUUGACGUUACCGACAGAAUAAGCACCGGCUAACUCUGUGCCAGCAGCCGCGGUAAUACAGAGGGUGCAAGCGUUAAUCGGAAUUACUGGGCGUAAAGCGCGCGUAGGUGGUUCGUUAAGUUGGAUGUGAAAUCCCCGGGCUCAACCUGGGAACUGCAUUCAAAACUGACGAGCUAGAGUAUGGUAGAGGGUGGUGGAAUUUCCUGUGUAGCGGUGAAAUGCGUAGAUAUAGGAAGGAACACCAGUGGCGAAGGCGACCACCUGGACUGAUACUGACACUGAGGUGCGAAAGCGUGGGGAGCAAAACAGGAUUAGAUACCCUGGUAGUCCACGC